AUGACACAGGGGGACAAGGAGAAGGAGGCGACCUUCAGGGCCACGGCGGAGGCAUCGGUCCUCAAGGUCAAGGCCAAGGCGGAGAACAAGACGGCGAUCCACAAGGACAAGGCGGAGGAGGAGAAGGAGGCGGCGUUUCUCAAGGCCAAGGCGGAGGCAGCGAUCAUCGAGGCCAAGGCGGAGACGGAGAAGGAGGAGGGGAUCAUCGAGGCCUACUACGACCCGGAGGAAGACGAUGUGCCGUACGAGAAGCUGUGCAACGGCUACAACUCGGACGAAGACCCGGAGGUGUUCAUGGCCAGGAUGUUAGCGCGGUGGAAUGCCUUUAUCAAGGACGAGGAGGCUCGUUUCCCUGGCCUCGGGUACCGGGAGUACUCCGUUGGGGAAUACAGUGUCGAUGAUUCGUCCGAUUCGGAUGACGAGCAGGAGUACUACCUCCGCAAGCUGGAGGGUCCCCAUGGUGUUGAAGGGUGUGAGGUUGCUGCUCUUGUGAUCAAGUACAUCUACGCCUACGCGGCGCCGAAUGUGAUGACCAUGCCCACCAUGGAGGUCUUCACCAGCGGGCGCAGCCGGUGGAUCAGCUAUGUGGCGAUGUCCAUCGACAAGAUGACCCGGCGGCUCGGGCGGCGGGACAUGCUUGUCUCAUUCCGCGGCACCGUCACCCCCGGCGUGUGGAUGGCCAACUUCAUGAGCUCCCAGGAGCCGGCGCGGCUGGAGCCCUGUGACCCGCGCCCGGAUGUCAUGGUCGAGUUCGGCUUCCUCAGCCUCUACAUCUCAUCCGACAACACGUUGGCGCGGUACGACGAGUUGGUGGACGCCUGCUACAAGGCAUUCGACCUCCACCGUGCGUCGCACCGGUACCUCAACUGCAAGUACGGCAAGGAGCGGAUGCUGGAGGAGGUGGGCAUGGCCGGCGCCUGGUACGAGGUGACCAAGCACAUCUACGCCUACGCGGUGCCGGACGUGAUAACCAUGCCCACCAUGGAGGUCUCCACCAGCGGGCGCCUCCCGUGGAUCAGCUAUGUGGUGGUGUCCACGGACAAGAUGACCCGGCGGCUCGGGCGGCGGGACAUGCUUGUCUCGUUCCGCGGCACCGUCACCCCCGCCGAGUGGAUGGCCAACUUCAUGAGCUCCCUGGAGCCGGCGCGGCUAGACCCUUGCGACCCGCGCCAGGACGUCAUGGUCGAGUUCAGCUUCCUCAGCCUCUACAUCUCCGCCGACAAGACGUGCCACGUCUACACCUCAUGGCCAUUGAAGAAUAUCACCUUGACGUCGGCGAUCGCGACGGUGCCGGUGGCAUCUGUCGCGGGCAUGUGGAGGCAGCUGCAGGGGUGCAGCGAAUGGGAGGGACUGCUCGGCGAGCUGGUGGACGCCUGCUACAAGGCAUUCGACCUCGACUAUGCGUCGCGCCGGUACCUCAACUGCAAGUACGGAAAGGAGCAGAUGCUGGAGGAGGUGGGCAUGGCCGGCGCCUGGUACGAGGUGACCAAGUAUAUGUACGCCUACGUGUUGCCGGACGUGAUGACCAUGCCCACCAUGAAGGUCUCCACCAGCGGGCGCGGCCGGUGGAUCGGCUAUGUGGCGGUGUCCACCGACGAGAUGACCCGGCGGCUCGGGCGGCGAGACAUGCUUGUCUCGUUCUGCGGCACCGUCACCCCCGCCGUGUGGAUGGCCAACUUCAUGAGCUCCCAGGAGCCGGCGCGGCUAGAGCCCUGUGACCCGCGCCCGGACGUCAUGGUCGAGUUCGGCUUCCACGGCCUCUACAUCUCCGCCAACAAGACCAUUUUCCAUACCCCGGAGCAUAUGCCCCAUGUCCAUGUGUCCUUACCCAACUAUGAGUGA
rnacentral:rRNA from 1 species